CCAAUAGCGUAUAUUAAAGUUGUUGCAGUUAAAAAGCUCGUAGUUGAAUUUCAGGCCUGGCUGGACGGUCCGCCCUUCGGGUGAGUACUGUCUGUGGUCGGGUCCUACCUUCUGGCGAAGCGUCAUGGCCUUAACCGGCCGUGGCGGGGAACCAGGACUUUUACUGUGAAAAAAUUAGAGUGUUCAAAGCAGGCAAUCGCUUGGAUACAUUAGCAUGGAA
rnacentral:rRNA from 1 species